rnacentral:rRNA from 1 species
AUUGAACGCUGGCGGCAUGCCUUACACAUGCAAGUCGAACGGUAACGCGGGGCAACCUGGCGACGAGAGGCGAACGGGUGAGUAAUGCAUCGGAACGUGCCCAAUAGUGGGGGAUAGCCAGGCGAAAGCCGGAUUAAUACCGCAUACGACACGAGGGUGAAAGCGGGGGAUCGCAAGACCUCGAGCUUUUGGAGCGGCCGAUGUCGGAUUAGCUAGUUGGGGGGGUAAAGGCCUACCAAGGCUACGAUCCGUAGCUGGUCUGAGAGGACGACCAGCCACACUGGGACUGAGACAAGGCCCAGACUCCUACGGGAGGCAGCAGUGGGGAAUUUUGGACAAUGGGGGCAACCCUGAUCCAGCCAUGCCGCGUGCGGGAAGAAGGCCUUCGGGUUGUAAACCGCUUUUGUCAGGGAAGAAACGGCUUGGGUUAAUACCCCGGGCUAAUGACGGUACCUGAAGAAUAAGCACCGGCUAACUACGUGCCAGCCGCCGCCGUAAUAC